UCUGUCAUGCUGGUGUGGUGGCGGCGGCGGAGCCUGCGGGCCCGUAGCUGUACUCUGCGAGGUGCAAGAAAGCCUUUGCGGUGAAGGUGUAUGAAGGUCAUCAUGACAAAUGUUUUCCAAAAACUUGUAGAAGGCUGUGAAAAAACUACUAGGAUCACACGUCAUGUAUUGAGCAUAUAGGUUGCUGUAGAUGAAUGUUCUUUGCUGUCAUGUUUAAAAAUACUUCUGCUUCAUUGCCUCAAGUGUGGCAUGCAACAUUUUGGAAGGAAAAUUGAAGACUUGUUCAAGAAAACACGAACAGAAGCAAAUGAUGAAAAUGAGCAUUUUAUGUGAUGUUGAUAACAUCACAAUAAAUUAUGGAGAAAAAUACAUAUUUGGCUAACUGUUUUAAUUGCUGAACAAUAAAGUGUUUUCUUUUAAAUCAAUUCUAAAUAGCUCCAUUCUCAUAGUCACUAGUCAGACCUGUUUUGAACAUAUUCGAAAGAUUAUAUAAUCUUGUGAAUAAUUAGAUUAUUUAUGGGUGGUGAUUCUCAUUGAGGCCAACAGCUGGGGAGACAUGUACCUCUAGGUUCCCUGUCUGGCUCCCCCUUCAGAGUUUGCUGUUGUACCAGAUGGUUGGAAUCUUAAAGCUCUUUAAUGCCAAAUAGCAAUCAAAUUCCCCCUUACAGAUAAAGGUUUCACCUUUUUUAUUCAGUUUGCUUUCAUCUUUGUGAACAAAAAAGUCAUCCUAAUACUAGUACAUGUAAUAACUAAGCAAUAUGCUAUGUUAAGAGAAAUGACUGGGCAGGCCAAUCUGUCUAGGACUAAAUUGGCAAGAAUUCUAAAGCUGAAUUUAUAUCUGGGUGAAGGCUUAGAGCUAAAUCUUUUCUCCUGUUGAGUACUAGCUUAUAAAUUCCUUUCACCAAGGUUAUAGUUUUUAUAUGAUAAAUGGUAUAAAACCUGUAUAGCAACAUCUUAGUCACUUCCCUCAGUAUAGACUUGGGGGGUACAAGUGCAGUUCUGUUGCAUAGGUAUAUGAAGUAGUUUGGAGUCUGAGCUUUUUGUGCAGCCAUUACCUGAAUGGUGUACAUUUCACCCAUUAAUUUUUCAUCCCGCACCCUACCCCCUUCUAAUUCUCCAAUGACCUUUAAAAUACCAUUGGCAUCAUAUUUAAUAUUAAUGAAUUACCUCCCAUAAUUGUUUCUGAAUGUACACUUCUACUCUUUAGGCACUGAAAUAAAAGACUAGUAAAUGCAGCCUUUGUAAUGAGAAACUUAAACAUUUAAAUUUUUUUGUGGUGAAGUAACUAUCUUUGAGACAGGUUGGGUUUUUUGAGCUGGAGAGAUUAAGGUGGCAGUGAGUUAUGACUGCAUCAGUACGCUACAGUUUGGGUGACAGCUACAUAUAAAUAUGUAUAUAUAAAUAUAGGUAAGUAAAUAAAAGCCAUCUUUGUGCCAUGCAUGUGGCUCACUCCUGUAAUCCCAACACUUUGGGAAGCUGAGGUACUGAGAUGGGAGGAUAACUUGAGACCAGCCUGAGAAACAUGGCGAAAUCCCAUCUCUACAAAAAAACACAAAAGUUAGCCCAGGGUGGUAGCAUGUCCCUGUAGUCCCAGCUACUCGGAGGGCUAAGGUGGGAGAAUUGCUUGCAAGGUCAAGGCUGCAGGGAACUGAGAUGGCGCCACUGCCCUCCAAACUGGGUGAGAGCCCCUGUCUCAAAAAAAAA
ensembl:lncRNA